UAUGGAGGGUGCAAGCGUUAUCCGGAUUCACUGGGUUUAAAGGGUGCGUAGGUGGGCAGGUAAGUCAGUGGUGAAAUCUCCGGGCUUAACUCGGAAACUGCCAUUGAUACUAUCUGUCUUGAAUACCGUGGAGGUUAGCGGAAUAUGUCAUGUAGCGGUGAAAUGCUUAGAUAUGACAUAGAACACCAAUUGCGAAGGCAGCUGGCUACACGAAUAUUGACACUGAUGCACGAAAGCGUGGGGAUCAAACAGG
rnacentral:rRNA from 1 species